rnacentral:rRNA from 1 species
UACAGAGGGUGCAAGCGUUAAUCGGAUUUACUGGGCGUAAAGCGCGCGUAGGUGGCCAAUUAAGUCAAAUGUGAAAUCCCCGAGCUUAACUUGGGAAUUGCAUUCGAUACUGGUUGGCUAGAGUAUGGGAGAGGAUGGUAGAAUUCCAGGUGUAGCGGUGAAAUGCGUAGAGAUCUGGAGGAAUAUCGAUGGCGAAGGCAGCCAUCUGGCCUAAUACUGACACUGAGGUGCGAAAGCAUGGGGAGCAAACAGG